CCAAAAUUCACGCUCAUGAGAUACCAUAAAAGGUGUUGGUUAGUAUAAACAGCCGGACUGUGGCCAUGGAAGUCGGCACCAGCUAAGGAGUGUGUAACAACUCACCAGCCGAAUUAACCAGCCCUGAAAAUUGAUGGCGCUAAGCGUGAUACCGAUACUCAACCAUUACAAUAAAUAGAAGUUGUAAUGAGUAAGAGGGCGUGAAUACUGUGUAGAAGGCUUGAACGUGAGUUUGGCUGGAACAGUAUUUAGUGCAGAUCUUGGUGGUAGUAGCAAAUAUUCAAAUGAGAACUUUGAAGACCGAAGUGGAGAAGGGUUCCAUGAGAACAGCAUUUGUUCAUGGGUUACUCGAUCCUAAGACAUAGGGAAAUUCCUUGUAAUAUAUGUAUUCUUACGAAUGCAUUGUCAAAAGGGAAUGAGGUUGAUAUUCCUCAAGCUGAAUGUGGAGGUUUCGUGGCAAC
rnacentral:rRNA from 1 species